rnacentral:rRNA from 1 species
AUACGGAAGGCAGCAGUGAGGAAUUUUGCGCAAUGGGCGAAAGCCUGACGCAGCAACGCCGCGUGGAGGAUGAAGGCCUUCGGGUCGUAAACUCCUGUCGAUGGGGACGAAAGCCCGCAAGGGUUUGACUGUACCCGUUGAGGAAGCCACGGCUAACUCCGUGCCAGCAGCCGCGGUAAUACGGAGGUGGCAAGCGUUGUUCGGAAUUACUGGGCGUAAAGGGCGCGUAGGCGGCCUGACAAGUCAGAUGUGAAAGCCCCGGGCUUAACCCGGGAAUUGCAUCUGAAACUGUUUGGCUUGAGUUCUGGAGGGGAUGGUGGAAUUCCCAGUGUAGCGGUGAAAUGCGUAGAUAUUGGGAGGAACACCUGCGGCGAAGGCGGCCAUCUGGACAGUAACUGACGCUGAGGCGCGAAAGCUAGGGUAGCAAACGGGAUUAGAUACCCCGGUAGUCCG